rnacentral:rRNA from 1 species
CCCUUAGAUGUUCUGGGCAGCACGCGCGCUACAAUGGUCUUCGCAAACGGAUGCAUUCUCGAAGGAGAAUGCCAAUCUUGGAAUCUAUGCCUUGGUCGGGACAGUUGCUUGCAAUUUUUCGACUCGAACCAGGAAUUCCUUGUAAUCGUGAUUCAUCACAUCACGAUGAAUACGUCCCUGCCCUUUGUACACACCGCCCGUCGCUACUACCGAUUGAAUGAUCCGAUGAAUAUCAUGGAUUGAGGAUUAUAGCAGGUUCGCCUGUCUUGAUCUUCGAGAAGUGAAGUAAAUCCUAUCAUUUAGAGGAAGGAGAAGUCGUAACA